rnacentral:rRNA from 1 species
GACGAACGCUGGCGGCGUGCUUAACACAUGCAAGUCGAGCGGUAAGGCUCCUUCGGGAGUACACGAGCGGCGAACGGGUGAGUAACACGUGAGCAAUCUGCCCUUCACUUUGGGAUAAGCACCGGAAACGGUGUCUAAUACCGAAUACGACCACUUCCGGCAUCGGAUGGUGGUGGAAAAGUUCCGGCGGUGAAGGAUGAGCUCGCGGCCUAUCAGCUUGUUGGUGGGGUAACGGCCCACCAAGGCUUCGACGGGUAGCCGGCCUGAGAGGGUGACCGGCCACACUGGGACUGAGACACGGCCCAGACUCCUACGGGAGGCAGCAGUGGGGAAUAUUGGACAAUGGGCGAAAGCCUGAUCCAGCAACGCCGCGUGAGGGAUGACGGCCUCGGUU